AGGAAUAUUGGUCAAUGGACGAGAGUCUGAACCAGCCAAGUAGCGUGAAGGAUGACUGCCCUAUGGGUUGUAAACUUCUUUUAUACGGGAAUAAAGUGAGGCACGUGUGCCUUUUUGUAUGUACCUUAUGAAUAAGCAUCGGCUAACUCCGUGCCAGCAGCCGCGGUAAUACGGAGGAUGCGAGCGUUAUCCGGAUUUAUUGGGUUUAAAGGGAGCGCAGACGGGUCGUUAAGUCAGCUGUGAAAGUUUGGGGCUCAACCUUAAAAUUGCAGUUGAUACUGGCGUCCUUGAGUGCGGUUGAGGUGUGCGGAAUUCGUGGUGUAGCGGUGAAAUGCUUAGAUAUCACGAAGAACUCCGAUUGCGAAGGCAGCACACUAAUCCGUAACUGACGUUCAUGCUCGAAAGUGUGGGUAUCAAACAGGAUUAGAUACCCUGGUAGUCCACACGGUAAACGAUGGAUACUCGCUGUUGGCGAUAUACUGUCAGCGGCUUAGCGAAAGCGUUAAGUAUCCCACCUGGGGAGUACGCCGGCAACGGUGAAACUCAAAGGAAUUGACGGGGGCCCGCACAAGCGGAGGAACAUGUGGUUUAAUUCGAUGAUACGCGAGGAACCUUACCCGGGCUUAAAUUGCAAAGGAAUAAUCUGGAAACAGGUUAGUCUUCGGACCUUUGUGAAGGUGCUGCAUGGUUGUCGUCAGCUCGUGCCGUGAGGUGUCGGCUUAAGUGCCAUAACGAGCGCAACCCUCGCCGCCAGUUACUAACAGUUAAAGCUGAGGACUCUGGCGGGACUGCCAUCGUAAGAUGUGAGGAAGGUGGGGAUGACGUCAAAUCAGCACGGCCCUUACGUCCGGGGCUACACACGUGUUACAAUGGGCGGUACAGAAGGCAGCUACCUGGCGACAGGAUGCCAAUCCCUAAAGCCGCUCUCAGUUCGGACUGGAGUCUGCAACCCGACUCCACGAAGCUGGAUUCGCUAGUAAUCGCGCAUCAGCCACGGCGCGGUGAAUACGUUCCCG
rnacentral:rRNA from 1 species